CAACUUUCAACAAUGGAUCUCUUGGUCCUCGCAUCGAUGAAGAACGCAGCGAAUUGCGAUAUGUAAUGUGAAUUGCAGAAUUCAGUGAAUCAUCGAAUCUUUGAACGCACCUUGCGCCCUUUGGUAUUCCGAAGGGCAUGCCUGUUUGAGUGUCAUUA
rnacentral:rRNA from 1 species